CUCUCUCACAGCACUCUCUCACACACAGCACUCUCUCACACAGCACUCUCACACCCAUCACACACAGCACUCUCACACACACACACAGCACUCUCACACCCAUCACACUCACAGCACUCUCUCACACAGCACUCUCUCACACCCAUCUCACACAGCACUCCCACACGGCACUCUCACGGCACUCAUCACACACACCGCACCCCUCACACACACACCGCACCCUCACACACACACAUACUGCACCCCUCACAUACAC